UACAGAGGUCUCAAGCGUUGUUCGGAUUUACUGGGCGUAAAGCGUGCGUAGGUGGUUCGUUAAGUCUGAUGUGAAAGCCCUGGGCUCAACCUGGGAAUGGCAUUGGAAACUGGCGACCUAGAGUGCGGUAGAGGGUAGUGGAAUUCCCGGUGUAGCAGUGAAAUGCGUAGAGAUCGGGAGGAACAUCCGUGGCGAAGGCGACUACCUGGACCAGUACUGACACUGAGGCACGAAAGCGUGGGGAGCAAACAGG
rnacentral:rRNA from 1 species